rnacentral:rRNA from 1 species
AAACAUGUCUUUUUGAAAAUAAUUUAAAGUCUAAUCUGCCCACUGAAUAAUAUUUAAAGGGCUGCAGUAUAUUGACUGUACAAAGGUAGCAUAAUCAGUAGUCUUUUAAUUGAAGACUUGUAUGAAUGAUUUGAUGAGAUAUAAACUGUCUCUUAAUUAAUAAUAAAAUUUAAUUUUUUAGUUAAAAAGCUAAAAUAAAUAUAAAAGACGAGAAGACCCUAUAGAGUUUUAUAUUUAUUAAAAUUUAAAUUUUAUAUAAAUUUUUAAAUUUAAAUGUUAAUAAAUAUUUUGUUGGGGUGAUAGAAAAAUUUAAGAAACUUUUUUUUAAUUUAAACAUUAAUUUAUGAGUAUAUGAUCCAUUAAUUAUGAUUAUAAGAAUAAAUUACCUUAGGGAUAACAGCGUAAUUUUUUUUUUUAGUUCAAAUAAAAAUUAAAGUUUGCGACCUCGAUGUUGGAUUAAGAUAAAAUUUAAAUGCAAAAGUUUAAAAUUUUGAUCUGUUCGAUCAUUAAAAUCUUACAUGAUCU